CCUACGGGGGGCUGCAGUGGGGAAUAUUGGACAAUGGGCGAAAGCCUGAUCCAGCCAUGCCGCGUGUGUGAAGAAGGCCUUCGGGUUGUAAAGCACUUUCAGUGGGGAAGAAAGCCUUGGGGCUAAUACCCUCGAGGAAGGACAUCACCCACAGAAGAAGCACCGGCUAACUCCGUGCCAGCAGCCGCGGUAAUACGGAGGGUGCGAGCGUUAAUCGGAAUUACUGGGCGUAAAGCGCGCGUAGGCGGUCUGAUAAGCCGGUUGUGAAAGCCCCGGGCUCAACCUGGGAACGGCAUCCGGAACUGUCAGGCUAGAGUGCAGGAGAGGAAGGUAGAAUUCCCGGUGUAGCGGUGAAAUGCGUAGAGAUCGGGAGGAAUACCAGUGGCGAAGGCGGCCUUCUGGACUGACACUGACGCUGAGGUGCGAAAGCGUGGGUAGCAAACAGGAUUAGAUACCCGGGUGUC
rnacentral:rRNA from 1 species